GCCUGAUACAGUACGUGUAAGGAAGCCUUCCUCAUCCGAAUUAGCAGUGCCAAUUUGUUGUGUCGCAGUCUCCCCCUACUUUUGAAGGGACUUGCUGAAAAGGAAAUCCCACAAUCUUGUCACAAAUAUAAAGAUAAGUAACAUUCCUACUGAUUCGUGAUCAAAGAGCUCAGUUGUAUUCCCACAUUCUUAUUUCUCCUUUCAAUGCAUUCCAAGCUCUUUUCUUUUUUUUUCAGUCUGGAAGUGUUGUAUACUUUUCAUGAGACCUUUCUGACCAGUUCCCACUAAAUCAGGAGGGUGAAGUGAAUGUGUCUGGCUGUCACAACCUUCUCCUAGCGGACCAUUUGCAAAUCCCUGCAUUUUUCCUAUGAAACUUCUAAUUGUGUUAGAACUGCAGCACCAAAGUUACCUGAUUUCUGUGCUGAGUUUUCAUGCUGCCACAGUUGCCUGUCUGACAGAGAAGAGAUUAUAGCAAACCAAAGAUGGGCUCAGGCUGCAGACCCUGAUCCAGAACCACGAUCUCUCAGCCUCUGUAAGCCCGAGCCAGGUUUCCAUCCCCUUGCUGAUGCCACUGGUACAUGUGUUUGGUACAUGCUCCUGUAUGGAGUGCUACCCGCUUCUUGUGUGCUCUCCCAUUCCCUGGUCAAGGUGCUCUAGGACGCUUUAUAUACACCCUGCAAAUACCACUGCCAGUUGCAGAGGUGUAGUUGACCCCAGAGUGAGGCUACCAGCCUUUAGGAGGGGGAGAAGCAAGACUGUCUAAAAUCCAUGAGUCGUGCCUUUCAUUAGGCUGUAGGCUGUAAACACCAUGAUGUUUCAUACCUGACGCAGACAGGGCUCUUUACCUUAAGCAAGUCUAAGCCUGCAUUAGGAAUACAGUUGAGUAGAAGAGGAUGUGGCUGCACAUAAAUAAGAUGACCUUCAGAUCCUUGUUAGGUUUUACCAAAAACUAUGUCUGAUGAGGCUGCGCUCUGAGAAAAGGCAAGUGAAAGACAGAACCAAAGAUGACACGGUUCCCUCCACCCCUCAUUUAAACCAAGUCUUCAAAUAGCGCAUCUGUUUUUCCUUUUUCACUCUUGUAAGCAGCAAAAGUGUUUUGGAUUUUUAAACAAAAAACAAUUCAGACAUUUUUAGGUGAGGAUCUGUGUGGUACAGUAUGAAGGUCAGCCUUGGCUGACUGAGGUGAUUCCCUCCUGGCCUUAAAAAGUGAGAGAAGUUGUGUGUUCCUAGUGAUCCCUGAUGGUGGUGAUGAAUAAAGUUAAUAGAAUUUUUAAUAAAAGAUACAACCACUGGAACCGAAUCCACCACUAUGUUAAAACGUGAAAUAGAUACUUACCUUAUAAAGCUAGAAAGUGUUUGGUUGGUAGCCGUGGCAACUUACAGGUGUUAAAUUAGCCACAAUGGGGCUGCCUGGUUCCCUGAUGCAACAGAAAUAUUUUGAAACUUACAAUGAAAAAAAAUUAAUAAAGCCAUGCAAUAUAAAGAGUAUAAAGUUCAAACAAGAAUGGAGAGUGCAAAGUUAGAUCUGUAGUGCUAUGAAAUUUCAUAAAAUGGGAUUUUACACUGCGUAAUACAACCUGCUGCUUCAACUGAAAUAAGGGACUUGGUUUGAUAUUUUCAUUAAAUGCAAAGUAUUUGUGGAUACUGGUGGCAAUUAGGUGUUGCAAAUGCAGUCAUCAGUUUGAAACUGUGCAUAUAAAAAGGUAUUUUAAUAAAAAAAUACAGUCACCUUGGUACCUGCAUCUAGCCUUAUUGUAUUGUAUGGCAGACACUCUACCCAUUAGACUGCAGUCACAGGUUAACAAGAAGGGAAAUUUCAAGGCACAGAAUUAGCUACAGGAAAGCUCUCCUAUUACUGAAUGAAUGCAAUAAAGACACAGCAAAAUUUACAAGGAAAAAUUUAAUAAAAUAUUGACUAUAAAGGCUACAACAUUCUAUGUCUGCUCCAUAGCUUAUAUCCAAAUCCAUGCGUGUUCAAAACUCCAUGCAAAUUGGACUUAAUUUACUUUUGCUUUUUCCUUCUUCAGGAAUAUAAAGUGAGCUCAAUAAUUUUCCUUUAUUUUAUCUAUAAAUGGUUUCCUAAAUGGGAGCUUAUUAAAAAGGAGGCAGGGUUAGGCUGUCCAGGAUGUUAGAGUGAUUACAUCUUGGCAGCACCAGAAGAGGCUGAGUCCAAGGGCCUGACUGUUUGUUAGCGUGUAGCCAAUACUCUGGAUUCCUAAUCAGCUUAAGAAAUAUAUGGAUAGUGACAAGUGGAUUCUUUCCCAGCUUUAUUUUUGUCACUGCUGACAACUGACAGUUCUGGGUACGUUAUUUAUCUUUGGCUGUGUAGAUGGCAAUUGGAAUUGCCAUACCCACCUCUACCAGGGAUCCCCAAGUUUCUCUGUUAUAGGUCCAUAUUAAAAAAAGUUGCUUUCACUGCAAGUGUUUCUAUUGUGAAAUGAGAGAGGAAAAAAGACAGAGUUUCUAAGGUAAGCUGUGCCUUUUCUCCUUUUUUUUCAGGAAGAGGUCAGAAGAGGUAGGGGACAAAAAUGGCUGCUCUCUAGACAGCUUUUAAGAAGGUCUCAAUUCUUUAGAAACUUAAAUCCAUCCUAAAGGUCACACCUUGACUUGGUCCCAUUGACUUAAACAAGACUACCUACCAAAGAGGCUCUUAUGGAGGAGGGUGGUCUCAUGGUUACAGCGUGGGACAAGAAGACAGAAGAGCUUGCUUCAUUCCCAACCCUCACCCCAAUUUUUCUGCAGGACUUCAAACAAGUCAUCAAAGCUGGGAGAACUGGACAGACAGCGAGUUGGCCAGAGUACAGUAUGCACAAAAUCUGCGAGGUGCUUUUAUAAAUCUCCAAAUGAGAUUGAUUACUUCUGCUGAGAGAUUUCAUUGUUGGUGUACAUUUUCCAUGGGAAUGAUGAAAGCCAGCUAGAAUUACUGCUGAGUGAACUAGAGCAAUCCAGGAUUAUGAUGAAUGGGAGUAGUGAAUGAUCACUGACUCAUAAUAAACAGAAGCACACGAUCAAGAGUGUGUCUAACUCCUCUCUUCUGGAAAUGAUGUGUCUUGAAAUGCUUGAUCUGACAAUCGCUCUGGUCUCUCAAGAAAGAUGCAUCACAUGGGUGAAAUGCUGUUGAUUUCUACAAACAAGAAAGGCAAGUACAUUUUAAUGAGCUCAGUUCACUCCUGGGUCACACCGGGAAUGGAAGGACAGGACCUCCAUCACUGGAAAGACCACCCAGAGAGAAGGAAGCCGCUCUUGCCCAGGAAGGCAAGAAGAUCCCAAUGGUUUUCCUCCAAAGCCCAAGCCAUCAGUACCAGCAGCCUCACUAGCAGAAGCUCAGGGGCCUGGCCAUGCAGAAGGGGCCUGUUUCUUUUCAGUGUGAGUACACCUCAUUUCCUUUGUGCUGGCAAGGCUGUCUGUGAACGAGAAAAUACAAAUGUAAGGAGCUGCUUGUGAUUUUUGUUAUGGUGGCCUUUUCUUUUGUUGGGUGUUUUUGUUACCAUGAUUUUACGUUGUUCUGCUGUUUCUAUAUCUGAAAGAGAAGUAAAAUAUGAUAUAGUACAGCAAUAGCAGCUACUAUACACAGAGGAGGACCUCACUAUGGGUUUGCACAGCUGUACCCACCUGGGAUUGAGUAAACACUCAAGAAUUCCACUGACAAUGCACAGGAGGAAUGGGAAUUCAGGACAAAAUUCAGGGAAUUUUGUUCUCAGAGCCGUUUUGGCUCCACAAAGAUGACAAACAUAAAAGUGAUAUGCCUGUGGGGACACCUGUGCCUGCAUAACUGACUGGAAGAAGAUAAACAAGCCUAAACAUGUACAAGAAAGAAGAGCAGCUGGUUGCUUCUACUGAAGCUGCAUUGUUUUGCAAGGAUACCAUUCAGAGUAGCAUCCAGAGUAUUCCAAGUGAAGACGUUCACUUGGCAACUUCACUCAAGAGGAAGUUGCAUUUUGCAUAGUAAUCUCAUUAACCUACACUUUCUCACGAACGUGCAUGAUUCAUAUUGUCUGUAAGGACAGAAAUUAAGCUGUCAGAAAAAAAAAAAAAAGUCAAUUCUCUGGAAUCAAUGGACUCAGUUUAAGAAUUUUGUGAGACUGGACAGAGGUUUCCAAUACUAAAAAUAUAAUUUUGACAAAUGCAUUUGCGAUGUUAGCUCUAGCAUAUGAGAUCCUAUGGAAUUAUCUUGGGUUUUGCUGUCAUAAAAAUAAAAGCUGGGAAUUUAUUUCUAAUUACACUAUGAAAAUGUUUUCCAUGAAGAUAUAAAAACAAGUAUCUUAGGGUUAAUAUGUAAAUGUCCAAUGCCAAAAGACUUGUUGUCACUGCAGGGCUAAUCUAAACUAAACUUCAGGUGUUGCCCAUAGCUGCACUGGGUCUCUGUGCCUGAAAAGUUGUCUGCUUUUUCCAGCUGUAUCAGUUGAUCUGAUGAAAGAUAUUGCUUCUCAUUAGAGCUUAUCUUGCUGUUUUUGUAGAUAUCACAGCUCAGUAAAUCUUACUGAGUGUUUCGUCCUGACCUUUCUGUAGAGGUAAAAGUGUCUUGGAUUCAAACCUAGAUUCCCAAAUACUUUUCUUGCAGAUAAAGUACUAUAUGUAGUUUUCCACAUUGUGCCUGGCCAGGACAGGAUUAGUGCAGCAUUAAUUGAUUGCAGGAGGAUCAAGGAAGUGGAUUAAAGCUGCUUCACAACCAAGAAAGUUGAUGAUCCUGAAGGUAAACUCCCCUACUUGGGGUUAUGAGAUGAAGAAAGCAAGAUUUAGUGAACUGCUUUGAGAAAAGUGUAAAGCCAGUCUUAUGUCCUGGUUUCCUGCUAUAUUCCAGUUAUCCCUUGGGAUAACUAUAUUUUAAUACAAUGCCAACUUUCUUUUUAUUAUGAUCCUUGAAAUUUCUUUUAGGCCACCUAAAAUGUCAUGGCUUUUUUUCUUCAUCAAUCAAAACAUUUUUUUUUUUAACUGCAGGAUGUUUAUUCAGUAGAGCUCGUUGUUUUUCUUUCAUUGAUUUUCUUUUUAACAUGCAGUUGUUGAAAACUUAAUUUUCAGUUUAGUCAGCUUUGUUCAAGAUGCAUUGCUGUUCCAAGUAGAAUUUGUGGUAUGUUUUCUGCAGUCCAGUCUAAGGGACAUACGGCAUGAUGGAUGAUGUUUGGAAUGAAAAGCUGAAUGAAUACAGGCAUUACUAGAGCUGCCUUCUUGAUCUGAAAAGAGAAAUCCCUUUCUUUGUUACUCCUUGAUAAGAAAAUUUACAGCAAUAUGUUGUUGGAAAUA